UGGCGGACGGGUGAGUAAUGUCUGGGAAACUGCCCGAUGGAGGGGGAUAACUACUGGAAACGGUAGCUAAUACCGCAUAACGUCGCAAGACCAAAGAGGGGGACCUUCGGGCCUCUUGCCAUCGGAUGUGCCCAGAUGGGACUAGCUAGUAGGUGGGGUAACGGCUCACCUAGGCGACGAUCCCUAGCUGGUCUGAGAGGAUGACCAACCACACUGGAACUGAGACACGGUCCAG
rnacentral:rRNA from 1 species